rnacentral:rRNA from 1 species
GGGUUGUGAGGUUAAGCGACUAAGCGUACACGGUGGAUGCCCUGGCAGUCAGAGGCGAUGAAGGACGUGCUAAUCUGCGAUAAGCGCCGGUAAGGUGAUAUGAACCGUUAUAACCGGCGAUUUCCGAAUGGGGAAACCCAGUGUGAUUCGUCACACUAUCAUUAACUGAAUCCAUAGGUUAAUGAGGCGAACCGGGGGAACUGAAACAUCUAAGUACCCCGAGGAAAAGAAAUCAACCGAGAUUCCCCCAGUAGCGGCGAGCGAACGGGGAGGAGCCCAGAGCCUGAAUCAGCAUGUGUGUUAGUGGAAGCGUCUGGAAAGGUGCGCGAUACAGGGUGACAGCCCCGUACACAAAAGCGCAUGUGCUGUGAGCUCGAUGAGUAGGGCGGGACACGUGGUAUCCUGUCUGAAUAUGGGGGGACCAUCCUCCAAGGCUAAAUACUCCUGACUGACCGAUAGUGAACCAGUACCGUGAGGGAAAGGCGAAAAGAACCCCGGCGAGGGGAGUGAAAAAGAACCUGAAACCGUGUACGUACAAGCAGUGGGAGCACCCUUCGGGGUGUGACUGCGUACCUUUUGUAUAAUGGGUCAGCGACUUAUAUUCUGUAGCAAGGUUAACCGUAUAGGGGAGCCGGAGGGAAACCGAGUCUUAACCGGGCGUUAAGUUGCAGGGUAUAGACCCGAAACCCGGUGAUCUAGCCAUGGGCAGGUUGAAGGUUGGGUAACACUAACUGGAGGACCGAACCGACUAAUGUUGAAAAAUUAGCGGAUGACCUGUGGCUGGGGGUGAAAGGCCAAUCAAACCGGGAGAUAGCUGGUUCUCCCCGAAAGCUAUUUAGGUAGCGCCUCGUGAAUUCAUCUCCGGGGGUAGAGCACUGUUUCGGCUAGGGGGCCAUCCCGGCUUACCAACCCGAUGCAAACUGCGAAUACCGGAGAAUGUUAUCACGGGAGACACACGGCGGGUGCUAACGUCCGUCGUGAAGAGGGAAACAACCCAGACCGCCAGCUAAGGUCCCAAAGUCAUGGUUAAGUGGGAAACGAUGUGGGAAGGCCCAGACAGCCAGGAUGUUGGCUUAGAAGCAGCCAUCAUUUAAAGAAAGCGUAAUAGCUCACUGGUCGAGUCGGCCUGCGCGGAAGAUGUAACGGGGCUAAACCAUGCACCGAAGCUGCGGCAGCGAACGUAUCACCCAAGACAACUUUACGGAGUUGACGAUUGACGGAGCGAAGCGACGUCAAAGCGUUCAUUAAAGUCGAGUUGGCUUAGGGAUACGUUCGUUGGGUAGGGGAGCGUUCUGUAAGCCUGUGAAGGUGUGUCGUGAGGCAUGCUGGAGGUAUCAGAAGUGCGAAUGCUGACAUAAGUAACGAUAAAGCGGGUGAAAAGCCCGCUCGCCGGAAGACCAAGGGUUCCUGUCCAACGUUAAUCGGGGCAGGGUGAGUCGACCCCUAAGGCGAGGCCGAAAGGCGUAGUCGAUGGGAAACGGGUUAAUAUUCCCGUACUUGGUGUUACUGCGAAGGGGGGACGGAGAAGGCUAUGUUGGCCGGGCGACGGUUGUCCCGGUUUAAGCGUGUAGGUGUGUGUUCCAGGUAAAUCCGGUUCACUUUAACACUGAGGCGUGACGACGAGGCACUACGGUGCUGAAGCAACAAAUGCCCUGCUUCCAGGAAAAGCCUCUAAGCAUCAGGUAACACGAAAUCGUACCCCAAACCGACACAGGUGGUCAGGUAGAGAAUACCAAGGCGCUUGAGAGAACUCGGGUGAAGGAACUAGGCAAAAUGGUGCCGUAACUUCGGGAGAAGGCACGCUGACACGUAGGUGAAGUGAUUUACUCAUGGAGCUGAAGUCAGUCGAAGAUACCAGCUGGCUGCAACUGUUUAUUAAAAACACAGCACUGUGCAAACACGAAAGUGGACGUAUACGGUGUGACGCCUGCCCGGUGCCGGAA